CAAAAUUCAUUUCCCCACUUCCAGUUAGCGUUCUCAGAGCUCAAAUUGCCCUGAGAAUAACUCAGGAAGCCAAGGAUGACAAUUUCCCGGAUCCCCAGCAGGGCUGGGCUUGAAAAGUGCCCCAGUUUAAGGGAUAUUAGGAAGCAGGGGGGCGGGUAGCGCUCCCUGGCCGCUCCUUGCUGGGCCACAGGCACCAUUUUGAGUAAUAAUCAUGCAUGACACUUGAAAUCUUCAUUCUCCACAAUGCUUCACAACUUUCUAAUUUCUAAAACUUUGGUUUUUUACUCCUUGGUUAAUCACGCGGAUUAUUUAGUACUUUAUCCCUCAAGAAAAUUAACUGUAGGUUCUUUUCAUUCUACUCCCAUCCACUCUCCAUUUCUAAUUUUAUUUCUCCUUUAGUCUUGGAUCAUGUGUUUUGUUCCUCCUAUCUCUGGGGGACACUAGGGCAAUUUCUCAAAAUCUUGAAUGCUCAUUAAAAUGUUAACUCUUAACCAUUUUAAGUUUCAGAGCCUGUCUAGGUGUGGAUAUGGAGAACUCUGCCCAUCCUUGUGGUGCUGGGAUCUCAGUGGAUCUGCAGCCUGGCUCUCCCUGCAGUAGCAGCCAUUCAGGACAACAUAUAUUCCGGAGGGUUAUUGUAAAGCUCUUCCUGGGUGCUAUGUGGUCAAUGAGAUGGGCCACAACCUGCAAGCUGGUGGGUAAGUGUCAUUCUAGUCACUACAGUCCUCUAGACCAUCCCCCAAGGCCGCUAAGGGUAAGCCAUCUCCAUCAGUGCUUAGAGUUCCACAGUGAACGCUGACUAACCAGGUACACUAGGGCUACCAGUCCACAAAUAGAAUAAUAACUAAUAACAAUGACCUUUCAAGAUCUUGUUGGGGGCAGGGUCAGGAGGAACGCUCACCUCAGCUCCUCUCAUCCCUGUGUACACUCCCUUGUUCCUUUUUCUCCUUGUCCAGAAUGCCCCCAGCUUUACACCUUUUCUCCUCCUCUCCCCAUCACUCUUCAGCUCUGUUGGGCCCUCCAUGGCGUUGCCUUUGAAGUUUGUUUACCCCCAUGGACUGCUGAGGAUGUCAGCUGGUUCUUGUGCAUCAGAAACCCUAAAGCCAGGCCCAGCGGAAGAUCUCCCAAAGGUGCUGAUGGUCAUCUUAACAUCAAAGUCUUCGAAUAGCAGUGCAGCACUGCCCAAUGGAGCUUUCUUUAAGGAAAUGUUGUAAAUCUACAAUGUCCAACAUAGUAGCCAUUAGCCGCAGCUGACCAAUGACCAUCUGAAAGAUGGCCGUGACUAAGGAACUAAACUGGUUAAGUUCAUUUUAGUCUGUUUAAGCUUAAUCAGUCACGUGUUAGUGGCUGCUCUGAAAUGAAUGUAGGCCCAUUCAUAAGACAGGGGCCUUACCACCAUGUUCAAUACUGUGACCCAUCCCUGUAACAGUUCGUGGCAUUUUUGCAGGCGCUCAAGAAAUACUGUCUCAAUAUAGCCGUAAAAAGUGCCUUUUGAGUUUUUUAGCUCUCUGGAUUUUCCUAUAUUUCUGUCAUUUACAGGAAAUUUCACUGGCAUUUUAAUUGUGUCCCACCUUUAAACUAUCAUGGGAGGAUUGCUAUUGUUACAAAGUUCCCUUCCACUUGGGACCCUGAGCAGUAGCUGGGAGUGCAGGCCACCGGGUAAGAGGACACCUGGUUUAUAUUCCUGCUUCUUUCCCAACCAGCUAGGUCAGAGACUUGCAUUUCUGCUUCCACUGGUAUAAUGGCUCCAACACUUCUCUAGAGGCUGGAAUGAUGGAAGGACUUAAGUCAAGAAAGGGAAUGCAUAAACUUAAAAUUUUUCUAAGCCCUCGAAGUUAUUGCUUCUGCUUAUUUUAUAUCCCACUAACUUAAAUUUUUUUUCAAAUAGAAAUGCCUUAGUAAUUGAUUCCUUAACAAUUCCUAAUCAUUUCGGGGUGCCUGGGUGGCUCAGUCAGGUAAACAUCUGACUCUUGAUUUCAGCUCACGGUUCAUGGGUUCAAGGGUGGAGCCUGCUUGGGAUUCUUCCUCUGCCUCUCUCUGCCACUCCCCUCCUCAAAAUAAACCCAAAACAAAACAAAAAAACAAUUCCUAAUCAUUUAAUUCAUUCUUAGAUCCCAUUUCAAAAACCUAUUAAUAUCUUUGUGUUAAAUUGGGUAUUCCUUGUGUAAGCCAAGGCUAUUCAUCUCUAUUGUUAUUUGUCACAUUGAUGAACUCUUAUUUUUAACUAUUUCAAAGGAUUAGUUUAAGGUGGUUAAUUGUCAUGAGCUAUCAAUAUUUCCUUUUUAAUGUUUUUCUCAUUUUGUGCUUUAGUGACAAAAAUGCUAUUAUACCUUGCAGAAUCUGUCAACAUUCCAGCCUUGUCCUGUCAUUGAACUGCUCGUGUUCCAUCCAAAUGGCCUUUUAACAGGAAGUUGGAAGAUAUUCACUGCCCAGGUCAGUAAUAAUAAUAAGUAGCUGGCCACUUUGUUCUGAAAAAUUUUUAUAAAUUAUUUUAACAUUUUUCCUAGGACCAAUUUUGACAACCUUCCACUUUUCCAGAAAUCUUUCCAUUUUGUUGUUUGUUAAUUUCUGGGCAUCUAGGCUGUGUCAGGAACUGGUAACACAGCAGAAAGGAGGUAGCAGUUUCCUUCUCAGGAGGCUGUCACAGCCUGUCAGUAUCUACAUUCAGUGAUUACCACCUGACACACAUAUUUGAACUUGUAUGUAUAUUUUCUAAAAAAUGGUAUUAUGUGCACCUGCUUAUCUUUAUACGUGUUAAAGAUACAUAUUUAAGAAAUACAUGUAUCUUGGACUUUCAUAUCAGUACAUGGAGCUGGCUCAUGCAUUGUUACUGUUGUACAAAGUUCUAUAAUGAAAAUUACAUGUGUUGCUGAAUAUGUGUGUAGUGUUAUUUCCCUAUAUAGGUUUUUAGCUUGCCUUUGAUUUAUUCUGUUUAAUCAAAGUUGGUUUUGAAUUUUUGUCUUUCCAGAAAAUUAGUUCUUGGGUUCUUUUUUUCUUCUCCAUUUGAUUCAUUUAUUUGUGUUGUAUUUAUCUUUUCUGUUUCCUUAGGACUUUGAGUCAAAUGUGUAGUUCAUUUGUUUUCCUUAUUUAAUUAAUAGUGAGGGCAUUUGCAGGUCUUGAAAUUACCCUAGGUAUUAUAUUUGGACACCAGGCAGAACGGUUUCCAGAUAGAAGGAUCAAGAUUACAUGGGUCCUAAUGAGCAAAUAUGUGGAGGGUCACAGAAUGUAUUCUUGAAUAAAGGUUUACACAGUGUUACCACACUCUGCUAGGCUGGAUUCCUGCCAAAAUAUGUUUUGAUAGUCACUCAAGAUUCUAAACUCUUGACUCACUCCCUAGGAUGUGAGCCUUUCAGAGUUCUUAAUAGCACUAUGUAUCUCAAGAUUGCUCCUUAUCAUCCCUUACCUACCCUCUUGUCUCAAAGCCUGGCCUUGUCUUCAUAGUCUCCUCUUUGAAGACAUCCUCUUGUUUUUUUACAAUUUCUUCAAUCAUUUAUUCACUCAACAGUUUCCUGAGCUAGAGAUGGAGUCAUUGUCUUAGCAACUGGGGAUAUAUAUGGGAAACUGAAAUAAAGACACCUGCUCUCUUGUUUAACAUUUGUUCUAGGUGUUCAGUCAGAUAACAGAACAAGUUGGAAAAGACCUCUUUUUCUGUAUUUGUAUACAUAUGUGAUCAAAAUUUUAUUUAGAACUUGCCUUCUGUAUGACUUAUCUGGCAUAAAAAUAGGAUGAGACAUUUCAUUUUUAUUAUUCAGUGUGGUUCUCUCCAGUGUAAGUUUUCUGUUUUGUUGUUCUGUCAAAUAAGGUGGGAGCUAAGGCUAAUGAUUUGCCUGCACGGAUUACAUUGAGGAUCUGCUCUCAUAGGAGUCCUCUGAUGUUGAAUACAAUGAGGACUCCUACUGAAGGGCUUCUUGCCAGUGGGUUCUGUGACUCCUGAAGCCUUCCUAAGACCCAAUUACAUUCUCACGAUCCUGAGUAAGAGAGCUGUGCAUGAAAGAAACCUUUUCACACAGUCAUAGUCCCUUGGCUUUGGAGUUCUCAUAGCCCAUAUGAAUCCUCUCAGACUACACAAGGGAUGAAUGAAAUCUAGAAGAGGAUUUUCUUCUCUUCCUUCCAAAAAACAAUCUUCUUGUAGAUGUUAUUUUUUUCUACUAAAGUUUGCACUGAUUUGAGUAUUGCUACAUUCAUAUUUGUAUGGCUCAUCUCUCCUGCUUCAUUACUUGCCAAGUCAAAAAAGUUAAAUGUCUUGCAGGCUUUCCUAUAAUCACGAUCUUCAAUAUAGUGUCUUCACCCUAUUGCUUAUCAAUGAUUAAAUCUAGAUUAUAUAUCAAGUUUUUUUUUUUUUCAAUUUUUUUUUAAUGUUUAUUUAUUGUUGAGAGACAGAGAGACACAGAGCAUGAGCAUGGGAGGGGCAGAGAGGGGGAGACACAGAAUCCGAAGCUGGCCAUAGGCUCUGAGCUGUUAGCACAGAGCCCAACCUGGGGCUCGAACUCACAAACUGCGAGAUCAUGACCUGAACCAAAGUCAGAUGUUUAACCUACUGAGCCACCCAGGUGCCCAGAUCUCAAGUUUUCUAACCAAACUACACAGAAUGGCAAUACUUCCUUGAAAGGACACUGAGCAGUGGCUAAAGGUUUGAGUGCCAUCAAAUAUCAUCCGUAUUCCUGAUCUUCACAGCAUCUUCCCAAAUCAGUGCCUUCUUAAAAACAAAUGCCCUGGGGCGCCUGGGUGGCUCAACGGGUUGAGCAUCCGACUUCAGCUCAGGUCAUGAUCUGGUGGUUCGUGAGUUCGAGCCCCGCGUUGGGCUCUGUGCUAACAGCUCAGAGUCUGGAGCCUGCUUCAGAUUCUGUGUCUCACUCUCUCUCUGCCCCUCCCCUGCUCAUGCUCCAUCUCUCUCUGUCUCAAAAAUAAAAAAAAAAUUUUUUUUUAAUUUAAAACAAAAAAACAUUAAAAACAAAUGCCCUCUGUCUUAAGCACUUAUUACUAAGUUUCCCUUCUGCUUCCACCAAUGUCUGUGCUGCCAUUUUUGCUAUCAGGGACAGCUGGAUAGCCAUACAAAAUGAGUUGCCUCAGAAAGGCUGAGCUUUCGACUUAAACUCAGUCCCUUGAGUUAGGGAAAGGCACAGCUACACUAGUGAUGGGAGACAGACCACUGCUAGAGAUGGUUGUCUCAUCCAGUGGUAAAUAGAACACGCUAUUCCAAACAUCUAGGAUUCCCAAGUCUUUAUGCACUGCUGGGACCUCCUUCUCGAGUCCAGAGAGGUGCACUCAGCUGGCUUCACAAACCUGUACUUGGAUGUCUCUCAGUCCCUUCUCAUUCAUACUUAUUUAACAGAACCAGUCAAGACAUGUGACAAUUCCACAAACUCUUGAAUCUAGGUGAAAGCUACUAGGGAGUUCCAUGUAAACUGUCUAAAAAAUUAUUUCAACAUAAAAAGUAAAACCAGGGGUGCCUGGGUGGCUCAGUUAAGGUCUGACUUCGGCUCAGGUCAUGAUCUUGCAAUUCGUUGAGUUCAAGCCUCUUAUGGGGCUCUCUGCUGUCAGCAAAGCCUGCUUUGGAUCCUCUGUUCCUCCCUCUCUCUGCCCCUCCCGCUUGUGUGCAUGUGCUCACUCACUCUCUCUCAGAAAUAAACAUUACAAAAGUAAAACCAAAACUUCUAUUUCUACCCUUCAAAAGUUUUUGCCUUUGCCAGAUUUCCUCAUAUUAUUGAUUAAAACCAAAAAUUCAGGAGUAGUAAUUUUUCUCCUUUUUUCUUCUUUUAAAGUUGGAUUUUGAUAUAUAGAAAAAGAACAUAUAUGGUAAAUGCAUACAUUACAAAGAAUACUCACAGGAAAUCCCUGAAGCCUUCACCUACGAGAGAUUCUUGGCAGCUUCCUUUCCUUUGGCCAUUACUCACCUGGCCCCAAUGAAUCCACUAUGAAUGGGGAGAAGCCGAUGCCAGCUUCUCCCCAAACCCUCUGCUACUCUCAGGCCAGGUGACCUCACUUCUUCCUUAGGUAGUACUACCACGGUAACCUGCCUUACUUCCAUCUGUGUCCUAUUAAGUUCUUUUUUCCUAAGCACCUGCAGUGAGCUUGAAAAGCUGUACCACACAUCUGCCUGAUAAAAACCAAACUACCUUCACAGUGAAGGCCCUGUGUGUUCUGCCAAACCUAACCUGCCUGUCAGUAUACCUCAGUUACCUCCUACCAGCCCACUGGGUGACUCCAUGUUCCCUGAAUGUGCCAAGCUUAUUCCAUUUUCAUGGUCACCCCAAAUGCUGUUUCUGUGCUUGGAAGCUCUCUUCACCACCACUCUUAUAGGUGUGUAGAAUUCUUUCACUUUGGGGAUUGGCUUAAAGCUCACCCCUGCAGUGCCCCUCAAAAUACCCCCUCUAGUGUAAUUAUUCAUUGCCCCCACUUUACACUCUUUCCCUUCUCAGUAUUUAACCACUACUCAUCUUUACAGAGUUAUAUCUGGGGAACUUGUUUGUAGAGGCCAUAAUCUAUUAGACUACGAAGUCCACAGUAUCAGGGAUUACUUUAGGUCUUUGGUUUACUACCAAAGUGUUUAGUAUACUAUAUGGAACACAAGAGGAGUUCCACAAGUAUUUGUGAGGUGUAAAAGGGGAGGCAGUGGAGGGAAAACAACAUGUAAAGGACUCAUUGUGACAGAGCAGAGAGGAGUCAGGCACCUGAGGCCUAGUCUGUAAUAAAAUGUCCUUAUAAGCCUCUCUGGACAUGGUCUCUCACUCUGGGUUAUCACCUCAGAAUCUCCUGGCACCCGUCAAGCCAGCUCUCCCUGAGACGUACAGAACCACAGGUGCCCCAAAUCCCUCAUGGCAACUAGAUUCAGGGAACUACUGGAUCAUCCAGAAGUACAAGGCUGGAAGGUCUGCCAACACAGGACACGGGAUUUGAGCUUCAGGGAGGAUGAAACACAGACCUGCCACAAUCAGAGCCACAAGACAGGAAGGGACUUUGGGAGGCUAGAUCACAGGGAACAGUCAGGGGGAAAAGACACCAUGAUGGGUGGAUACAAAGUGCUUGUGUUGCUGGGGACCUUCCAGGUGACAUAGUUUAGUGACCUAUACUAAUGGAUGUUAGAAAGGUUUUCAAUGAAGAGGAUGAAAAGAAUGACUCAGUAUGGAAAAGAAAAACCACUAAUACUGAGCCAUCAAACUGAGUUCAGAAAAAGGGCUCAGAGAUUCAUAGAGAUGGCAGUCUAUGUUGUGGCAAACAGAAGGACAUCACCAAAGAUGGGGAUCAGGUGCAGAUUUCGUAGCUGAAUACUACCAGAAGCAGGUAGUUCCAAUGUCAUUUGUAUUAGAACACAAAACAAAGGGAAGAAGAGAACAUCCAAAGUUUUCUUUACAAAGCUGAUAAAGAUAAUCGGGGCGCCUGGGUGGCUCAGUCGGUUAAGCGGCCGACUUCAGCUCAGGUCAUGAUCUGGUGGUCCGUGAGUUCGAGCCCCACGUUGGGCUCUGUGCUGACAGCUCAGAGCCUGGAGCCUGUUUCAGAUUCUGUGUCUCCCUCUCUCUGACCCUCCCCCGUUCAUGCUCUGUCUCUCUCUGUCUCAAAAAUAAAUAAACGUUAAAAAAAAUUUUUUUUUUAAGAUAAUAAACACAAAAAAGAAAUCCACCCACCUCCUGAACCUAAUUUAUGAAUAUGGAUCUGUCUGUGGAUGCCAGCAGCUCUUACAAGGGCACUUCUACAUUUAUUAUGUCACUGUGUUAACUGUUCAAAGGAGAAAAUCACUAUGAUCACCUUGGCAUGACUAUUAGGGAAAACGGGCUAUUACUGAUUUUCAUUUAUUAGAAAGGGCUAGAUGACUAUUGCUUUGUCCAGAUAAAACUGACUUGAAUCAAAACAGAGUCCAGCAUCAUGCUUGUCAAGACCCAGAAACUUUCCCAUUUAGGUCACUCACUCUUCACACUCUCAACUUCAGUGUUUUGGAAGUACCAGCUGUGACAAAGGUCAUUAUGUAACUGGGCAAGAGUAAAACAAUACUAAUACGAUUGCCUCCUGCUUUAUACUUGCUGGUAAAAUGACUGUACUGAGAAAAUUGAGGCUCUAGUAAGACUGUUAUAACUAAUAAGAGAACUUAACAGCAUGACAGGUUCAUCUGGACCAACUACGCAAGACUGCAGAGGAUUAACCUGAGCAGAUUAACAGCAACCACUACAGUGAAAGCCCAACAGCACUCAGAAGGCCUGACAUAGCACAGUGAAGCAAGAUCCCUUGUUGUACACUUGCGCCAAAACUCGACUAGACCAAUUCUGCAUCAAGGAAUUCUAAAUGCAAUCAUCUAACAGGAUUUUCUUAAUGAACCCCUGACAAACUGAUGUCAAGCACUCAUCUUGCAAACCAGGUGGGUGAGAAUAGUUCAUAGUUUGUUUUGUUUGUUUUUUUGUUUUUUUUUAGAAAUAAUGAGAGGAACUAUCAUUUAUCCAAGUUAUAAAACUACCAUAUGUACAGCAGUAUGUGUGCUCAGACUAAGAUCAACGAAGCAGAAGGGACCAAGACCGAAGCCUAUGCCCAAUAAGUACCAUGGAAAUUUAGUCUGUAAUAAGGACGGUGUUUCCAAUAAGCAGAAGAAUCUAAUCAAAAUUUGUUGAAAGAACAUAUGCUCCAUACCAUAUACACAAAGAAACUCCAGAUAAGUGCAACAAUCAGACAAAAACAAACAAACAAAAAACCCUGAAAUACAAGAAAGUAUUUAUGAAAUCUGCCUAUCUAUGAAUGGGAUAGGAAUAAGAACAGAUCUGAAAGGAAAAAUACCUAAAUUAUAUAACUUCUUUAUGAAAACUAAAUUUAAAGGUAGAAGAUAAAUGGGGGCGCCUGGGUGGCUCAGUCGGUUAGGCAUCCGACUUCAGCUCAGGUCAUGAUCUCACGGUUCAUGAGUUCAAGCCCCACAUUGAUCUCCGUGCUGACAGCUCAGAGCCUGGAACCUGCUUUGGAUUCUGUGUCUGCCUCUCUCUCUGUCCCUCCUCCGCUUGUGCUCUGUC